UUCACCACACAAGCUGAAAUAGGGAGAAGAAAAAAGCGAUUAUGAAAAAACAGUCAAAAUCAAUAACCUUCACCUCAGCAUCUUCAUCGCGCCUCAUCACUUCGCCGUUCUCAGAUGCUAACGCAAUCCUGAUUCGCCAUCAUCGCAAGCCAGCACCUCCGUUACGGAUGUGCUCCCUUCACGCCGGCGCUCAUCAACGACAUACUCUCCGAUUCACAGAUAAUCGCCUUGCUUGCUCGAAUCACGCAGUUGUAUAAACAAAGAUAGAUGACGUUGAAUCGCGACGUCAAUACAAUCUCCUUCCUCUUGUGUUUCGCGACGGUGCUCGCCAAAUCCUUCUUCUCUUUUCCUUUGUUUCUGUUACCGUUGCGAUGGAGGUUAGUGAGGGUUGAUGGUGGUGAGACGGUUGUGACAGCGGCGGUUGGGGGUUGCGUUCCCGGCGAAGACGAGGUUGUGAUGGUGGUGGUGUGGACCGGAGAAAACAGAUGUGGAAAGGAAGAAGAAUGAAAUAUUUGUUUCGUGUUUGCCGGCGAGGGAAAUGACAGAUGGUGAACCAUUCGCGGUGUUGGAUGGUUGUGAUUCCGGGUACAGGAAGUUACAGGAAUGAAGUGACUUUGAUGGAUAGUUUGUGGGCUGUAAUACAGCAAGGUUGGAGGCGCGCCCCAAGUUCAAAGAGAUUGCAAUUUGAUUACCUGACUUUGGUCUUUAGGAUUUAUUCCCAUUUGUAGCAAAUUUCACUGUAAUUACAUUGGUUUUUUUAAGACAAAUGUGUGCUUGGAUUAUGUAACUUAUUGAAUUAAAAGUCUAAUAACCAUUAAUAAUUAUGUAUUCAA